rnacentral:rRNA from 1 species
CGUGUAGGCGGAUUGGUAAGUUGGCUGUGAAAGCUCCUGGCUUAACUGGGAGAGGUCGGUCAAUACUGUCAGUCUAGAGUAUGUGAGAGGGAAGUGGAAUUCCGGGUGUAGUGGUGAAAUGCGUAGAUAUCCGGAGGAACACCAGAGGCGAAAGCGGCUUCCUGGCACAUAACUGACGCUCAGACGCGAAAGCUAGGGGAGCGAACA